AACGAACGCUGGCGGCAGGCUUAACACAUGCAAGUCGAGCGCCCCGCAAGGGGAGCGGCAGACGGGUGAGUAACGCGUGGGAAUCUACCCAUCUCUACGGAAUAACGCAUGGAAACGUGUGCUAAUACCGUAUACGUCCUUCGGGAGAAAGAUUUAUCGGAGAUGGAUGAGCCCGCGUUGGAUUAGCUAGUUGGUGGGGUAAAGGCCUACCAAGGCGACGAUCCAUAGCUGGUCUGAGAGGAUGAUCAGCCACACUGGGACUGAGACACGGCCCAGACUCCUACGGGAGGCAGCAGUGGGGAAUAUUGGACAAUGGGCGCAAGCCUGAUCCAGCCAUGCCGCGUGAGUGAUGAAGGCCCUAGGGUUGUAAAGCUCUUUCACCGGUGAAGAUAAUGACGGUAACCGGAGAAGAAGCCCCGGCUAACUUCGUGCCAGCAGCCGCCGCCGUAA
rnacentral:rRNA from 1 species